AAUGGCGCUGUCACGCUUAUCGCCGCCUGGCCAAUGGCGCGCCUCAGCCCCGCUCACGUGACGCCUUUCUGUGCGCUCCCUCCGCUCUCAGCGCUCAGUCCCGGCGACUCCGGACAUCACUGAAGGUCUGACAUCGGCGGGAUCGGACGUGCAGCGUCCUCUGAGCAGUCACUCAAGGUCUUAUGGCAACUUUGCGGCCGUCAGGUGUUCUCCCGUCGGCGCAGACGAGCGCGCUUCAGCGCACGGAGACACUUUUUCCGUCUCCAAACUCCCAGAGAGGCGCUGGGGGCGAGAGAAUAACGCCCAGAAGUUGUUGAAAUGAUCCGUCAUAAGAGGAGCUGAUGAGAGGAAGGGCGAGCCACCCUGACCUUUACCGCCGAGCGAAGGAAGGGGAUCUGAAAACCCCUCAAAGCUGAACUUGUGCCUGAUGAAAGAGAGGUCAUAUUGGUGAGAUACAGGAGAAUGUCAUGCAUUAGCAUGAGAGCGUGACAACAUGUUGAGUCUCACACCAAAUGCGUGGAACCUGACAGGACCACUUUAAAUGCGCCAUCAGACGAAGACAGCGACGCCGUUCCAGCUGUGCACAGACGGGCCGAGUCACCACACUCACAGACACACAAACACACAGCGAGUGAGCAGGUGAGCAUGAAGACAAACACGUCGCGCUGUGUUGUCUGCAGACGGAGGAGGCCGGUCUGUACCUGCAGGCAGGAAUUUCCUCCCCCACAAACUCUGUCCAAAGCGUUUUACAUCAAGUUAAAAAAAAAAAGUCAAAGAGAAACUAGAGGUCACAUUUCCUGAUGACUUUACAGAAAUAUCUGUAACAUUACAAGACACAUUGUUGGUGUAAAACAAAAAAGAAUUACAGGUUUGUGUCUCAAAUCAGUAAAUAGCUGCAGCUGAAUAUUUGUUUGUAUAUUGCGAGGCAGAAAUGUCACACACAUUGUUUUUAAUGUACAAACUACACACUAACAUUUCUCACUUGUUAAAACUCAUGUUGUGUAGCAGGUUAGUUCCGAAACAGAUAACUGAAGAAUCAGUUGGCAUAA